AGCUUUGCGCAGUGGCAGUAUCGUAGCCAAUGAGGUUUAUCCAAGUCAUGAUUAUUGCUAAUUGUAAACACA
rnacentral:snRNA from 1 species